UUUUCCAGAUCAGCCCACACCUCUGCUUGCCGAUCAACUUCAGAUCACUUACCGCUCACCCUCUCCGCCUCCUCCAAAAUUCCCAAGCCUUCCAUAUUUAGGUUCAAUAAUGGCCUCUUGCGACUUGUCCCUUUUAAAAACAUCAUCUCAAAAAACUGGAGUAGUGUCCCCCCUUCUCAACACUUGGGAUCCCUAUGACUCAAGCUCAAACGUGUCCGAGCUGCCACAAAAUCUUGGGCCAAGCAGUCCAGAGCCCCAAUCGUGUUUGCUAAAAACUGUCAAACUGUCAUCACCUUCUUAGACAAGGUUAAGGAGUAUAGGCCGCUCUCCUCUCUGGAACGAUCGCUCCGCACCCAAGUAGCCCUUUCUCUCCAUCGUCCAAAUGCCCUCACCGCCUUGUACUGGCAUCGGCGUGCUAAAAUCAAAGACUGUCUUCUAGGGCACGAAAACUCGGACUACUUCCACCUUUGUGCCACUGUGAGGAUGCGUAAGAAUCACAUUAAGGCUCUGGUUUUAAAUGGUGUCGACGUGGCUUCUCAUUCGGGGAAACAUCAUGCCCUUUAGGGUUAUUUCAAGGAUAUUAUUGGCGUCCCUCUUGUGGGUGACUCUCUUUCGAAUCACCCUGACCUAGUCGCUUCUUCACACCUCACUGCAUCACAGGCUGAUGCUCUAACCAUGCCCUUCACGAUAGAAGAGAUCAAACAAGCUUUAUUCUCCAUGAGUGACAAUGCUAGUCCGGGUCCAGACGGCUUCGGGACGGCAUUCUACAAAGCAAACUGGGACCUUGUUAAGAACGGCCUACUACACCUUCUUUCUAGCUUCCACGCUGGCACUGCCGAUCUUGAGCGCAUUAACAAAUCCUAUAUCGUCUUAAUCCCCAAACAAAUCGGAACCUGCGACCCAGAUCAUCUGCGCCCUAUCUCUCUGCAAAACUGCCCGGUUAAGCUUUGCUCCAAAUGCCUUACUAAUCGGGUGCAACCUCUCAUCCCGGAUCUUGUCCACGCUGACCAAUCAGGGUUCAUCAAAGGUCGGAAUAUAGUCGACAACUUCAUUCUGGCUGCUGACAUCGUUCAAACAUGUUACAAACGAAAAUGCCCUUCCAUUGUGCUCAAAUUAGAUUUUAAGAAAGCCUUCAACUAG
rnacentral:rRNA from 1 species